rnacentral:lncRNA from 1 species
GGCCGUUGUAAUUCUGCCGGCUUUUAUAUCAUUUUUAUGCUCUUUGAGUCGCUGUCCUAGAGUUCUACGAGUCACGCCAAUAUACGAGGAGUUCUUAUUCUGGUUAUGGAACCUAAUGGGCAGCUUGUAUACCCCUGACUUCUCGGCGUUGUUUCUCAAGUCUUUUUCGUUGUGUAGUACGUUAAAUAGGGUCGGUAAUCUUCUAGUUGUAAUUUUUCACUUGCUUUUUCUGGCUAGACUUCGUAUGACUCUCGACCUAGUCAUGGUGUAUGGUACUAGCAUGUACUUGUUCCCGCUGGUGCUUGGUUGGAUGUCAUCUAGCUGUAUAGGUUGGGGGGUUGUCCUUUUUCUGUGGUGAAUCCUGUCGAUGAAGCGUUUACUGUAGCCGUGGGCAUAACCAGUGGCAUAGAUGUACUUAAGCUCGUUGAUGUUAUCCCGCCAUCGGUGCAUGAGCAACCAACUGGACAUGAGCCUUUCAUGUUCUUAGUGACGAUUUUCUUGAUUUUUUUCAGUUGGCGUUCUUUCCACAUGACCAUACCAUUGGAGAUGCUUGGCUUUAAUUUUGUCUGCUUUGAUGAUGCCAUUGUCGGGCCAUCUGAUUUCUUGGAUGGCCAUUACAUAUUUUUCAUAAAUAAUUGUGUUUAUAUUUGCCUUUAAGUGCUGUAAUUUAUAUUUAAUUAUUAUAAGAACUAAUAAACAUUUAAAACUUCAAGAGGUGAUAUUCGAAUAGAACAUAAUGCAG